UAUGGAUUGGUGUAUAAGGCACGUUAAAAUUUGAGUUUAAAGGUGAUAGUGAAAAUCUAUUAUUUAUAA
rnacentral:tRNA from 1 species